rnacentral:rRNA from 1 species
AUUGAACGCUGGCGGCAGGCCUAACACAUGCAAGUCGAGCGAGCGGCGGACGGGUGAGUAAUGUCUGGGAACCUGCGUGAUGGAGGGGGAUAACACCUGGAAACGGUAGCUAAAAUCGCACACAAUCAGAUGUGCCCAGAUGGGGUUGGAUAGUAGGUGGGGUAAUGGCUCACCUAGGCGACGAUCCCUAGCUGGUCUGAGAGGAUGACCAGCCACACUGGGACUGAGACACGGUCCAGACUCCUACGGGAGGCAGCAGUGGGGAAUAUUGCACAAUGGGCGCAAGCCUGAUGCAGCCAUGCCGCGUGUAUGAAGAAGGCCUUCGGGUUGUAAAGUACUUUCAGCGGGGAGGCGUUACCCGCAGAAGAAGCACCGGCUAACUCCGUGCCAGCAGCCGCGGUAAUAC